CUUUUGGUACUAUACAUGCGGGAAAUUAGAUCUCAGCGUUCAUAUAACGUACACAUUCGGUCCGUGGCAGAGUAUUCUUAAAAUACCGAGACCGUUUAGCAGAGAAUAUGUGUCAUGUAAUUGUAUUUUAUAGAAUUCCGCCAAAAAAUGAGGAAACAUCACAAAGUAUCUGCCGUGUAUACGGUACCGGUCACGUGCGUUGGCUUUUAGACUAGUUACGCACACGGUGUCAAUGCCUCGGUAAUUUUAUCCUUACAAGUAUUUUCUCGAAAAAAAAUCGAAAUUUAAACAAAGUAACAAUCACACAUAACACUGAAUAACUGUCUUCAUUGUAUGGAAACACGCGGUGACCGGUAACUCAGUUUUAAUGCAUGACAUGAUUAUAUCUUUACUAGAUAUCACGUUUUACAAAAUAUGUAAUAUUGGGAAUGCAGUGGGUGGGGUAGCGCCGAUGUCAGGAUUUUCGUUUAGGACCGAUUGAGUUAUCAAAAUUUCCGGAGCCCUGUUCAUGACAGUGUACACAGAUAAAGCUGGAAGCAAGAAGGUCACAAGGCUUCAUGACAGUAUACACAGGUAAAGCUGGAAGCAAGGCUACCAAUCUUCAUGACAGUGUACACAGAUAAAGCUGGAAGCAAGAAGGUCACAAGGCUUCAUGACCGUGUACACAGAUAAAGCUGGAAGCAAGAAGGUCACAAGGCUUCAUGACAGUGUACACAGAGGGAUGUUUCUUACUCCUGAUCAUAUAAAAAUGAUACAUCUAGAGAGGCAGGUACACAGAUUUGUAUGACCCUAACUGGAGUGCACAGUCAGACAAAAUGGCUCCUGAUGCUGAUGUCCAGCUUUCCCAGGAACAGAAAAAGAUGGAUUAUUAUGCAUACUCCGGUUACAGAUUUGCAGUAGCUGUCAGCAGCCAAGAAGAACCAAUGGCCAUUCUGAAUAAAAGACCCACAUGAUCAGACAAGUUGGCAAGAUGACAAGUCCAUGCAAAGUGUGCUGACAUUCUGCCAAAGAUUGGAGAUAUCUCCGGCAGACUUUAAACUCCUUAGAUUUAAGAUUAAAAGAUAAUUGUGACUUAAGACUACAUGUAUGUAGUUUUCAGUCAAACACCAUUUCUUUUUUUCUUUUUUGUAUUUUUUCAACAAUUCAAGGUCUGGAAAAUGAUAAUAUUGGAUACAUGUUUUUAUCAUGAAAUAAAAAAAAGAAGGUUUUCAUUGUUUACAGGUGUUUGGAGUGAAUAUUUAUAAAGUGACUGUGUCUUUAAGAUAUCGAGUGUUGUCUGCAAGAAUGCAGUAAUUCGUAAUUUUGUUUUUGAAAAGUUUCCAGGAAAUUCAAAAAAUUCCUUUUUUGUAAAGAAACAGAUCUUUUGAUACGUGGGAACAAAUUAAAUAACUUUUACAAAGAAAUUCUUCAUAUAUGUCCAGAGUCACUCUGAGAUAUUUGACUUUCAUUUACUUACAACUGUAUUGCAUGUCUUCUCUAAGUUUUAGCAGUCAAAUCAUUACUGCAAAAAUGUUGUAACUUUACUUACUACACUUUUAUACUUCUUUACUUUUUUAUUGGACUGUAAGUUAUUUUUAUUGAUAUCUAUAAAUCUACUACCACAGUUUUACAUUUGACAAAACUAGAAAUGCUUCUUUUUUAAUAUUUUUGACAAUUUUGCCCAUUGUUUCAUAAACAAAAUAAUCUGGAAAUUAACAUCUUGGUACACUAUGUAUCAUUACAUGACUGCUUCUGUAAGUCUGCAUAGUUUGUGCAAUUGAUCAGUCUAUAGUUCAACACAUAAUAUUUACAUUUGCCCUUAUUUCUUUUCCAUUGAAAAUUAUGACGUUCAUUUCAUAUGAACAGCAAAAGUUAAGGCACGAAAUUUACGUCAUCGCUGCUUAGGGAUAACUGUACGCUGUUUGGAAGACGUUCGCAUAUAGUCAUGGGGAACGUUCCUUAGAUGACGUCGCAAUUCUUCCGUGUGUUGAACAGAAUGGCCGGGAAGCUGAUUUUAAUGUUAAAUGCCACAGAAUAUGUGCAAUUUAUAAUAUUAUUUUGUUUUACAGAUGGAAAGGAAAUAUAAUGUAAAUACAUGUAUAAGAAAUGAAACUAUUUUUUUUUGGUGUUCAUGCGAAAUGAACGACAGAAUAGGAUCGGCAGAUUAAACAUGAAUCGCUAGUGCGAUUCAUAGAUUUGCCGAUCCUAUUCUGUCAUUCAUUUUGCAUGAACACCAAUAAAAAAUUAUUUCAUUUCUUAAAUUUUGCUUGGCUAAAGUCAAAAUUUGGAGAGAAAAAAUGGAAAUUUAUUUCUGAUGUCAUGUAAUAUAUCAUUUAUGGAAUAGCAUGUGAACAUUAUUCAAAGUUAUUACGCGACUCCUUAUAUAAAUCUCCAGGCUAUAGUUUGUGCUAUGUCUGUAUUCAUGAGAUUUUUACUAGGCUACUAAUUAAAAGAAUUUACAAGAAAAUUAUGAAAACUGAUUACUUGUGUCACUUUUAUAAACUAAUAAAGCGAAUGCUUUGCAAGUCAAUAGUAAAAACUAUUAUAUUUGAUCAGUUUUCUGAUUCUGGAUCUUCUGAUAGCAGUAUUAUUAGUCUUGACUAUUGACCAGCAAGCCAUUCAGAAAGUUUAUACUCUUGACCAUUGGUCCCUUUGGACCUCCAUAAAUAGAAUACAGCUAUCUACCUUAAGUGGUCAAUGGUUAAAAUUAUUCAGUCGAAGAAAAUGGCUAUACAUGCUCAGCAGAAAACUUCUGACCAAGACAAUGUCUACGUUAAUAGUUUACUGAUGAUAGUCAAUAGUAGAUGGUAGUUGUUUGAAGUGGGACAUAUUUCUCAAUGGCUGUUAUACCUCACAAUAUUCAAAACAAAUACAGAAGCUAGUUAAGUGUUUUAUAAAUCCUUCUUAUCACAUACUUGUUGGGCUUUUUUGCCAUUAAGUUACUAUGGAACCAGAAAUGUCAAUAUUUUUGUUGUCUGAAUUUUAUGUCAAUUGGGUGACAUAAUGUCAUUUUAAUGCAUGUUUUAAUGUUAAUUUAUAUCAGUAUUGUCAUUUUUAGCUCAACUAUACGAAGUAUAUGGAGAGCUAUCCUACUCAACCCAGCGUCGACGUCCUGCAUCCCCACCUUGGUUAAAGUUUUUUUUACACUUUCUCUUUUUUCUCCUUAUCUCUAUAAUAACUUGAUGGAUUUGUUUCAAACUUAAAAUAGUUAUUCCUCAUCGUCACCCACAUAAUAUGGCACAAGAGCCAUAAUUCUCACACCAAUAUUUCAUGAAUUAUCUCCCCUUUUUACUUAGAAUUUCAGGUUCAAGUUUUGAUACACUUUCACUCUGUCAUAAUUAUUACUAAAUGGAUUUGAUUCAGACUGAAAGUAGUUGUGCCACAUCAUCUCCCACAUCAUAUGACACAAGGUCCAUAACUCUGGUACCAAUGUUUAAUGAAUUAUCCCCCACUUUUACUUAGAAUUUCAGGUUAAAGUUUUGAUGCACUUUCACUCUAUCUCAGUUAUUACUAAAUGUAUUUGAUUAAUCCCCCGCCACAAGUGGUGGGGGGUUAUAGGAAUGGUCUCCGUCCGUCCUUCCUUCUGUCCUUCCGUCUGUCUGUCCGUAACACUUUCGUGUCCGCUCCAUAUCUCCUAAACCCCUUGAAGGAUUUUCAUGAAACUUGGGUCAAAUGAUCACCUCAUCAAGACGAUGUGCAGAUCUCAUGAGUCAGCCAUGCCAGCUCAAGGUCAAGGUCACAUCUCAAGGUCAAAUGUUUGAGCCUUCCAUUUUGUGUCCGCUCUAUAUCUCCUGAACCCCUUGAAGGAAUUUUAUAAAACCUGGGUCAAAUAAUCACCUCAUCAAGACGAUGUGCAGAACCUAUGAGUCAGCUAUGCCGGCUCAAGGUCAAGGUCACAACUGAAGGUCAAAGUUUUUAGCCUUCCAUUUUGUGUCCCUUCUAUAUCUCCUAAACCCCUUGAAGGAUUUUCAUCAAACUUUGGUCAAAUGAUCACCUCACCAAGACGAUGUGCAGAACUCAUGAGUCAGCUAUGCUGGCUCAAAGUCAAAGUCAAAACUGAGGGUCAAAGGUUUGAGCCUUCCAUUUUGUGUCCGCUUUAUAUCUCCUAAACCCCUUGAAGGAUUUUCAUCAAACUUGGGUCAAAUGAUCACCUCAUCAAGGCGAUGUGCAGAACUCAUGAGCCAGCCAUGCUGGCGUAAGGUCAAGGUCACAACUCAAGGUCAAAGGUUUUAGCCUUCCAAUUCGUGUCCGCUCUAUGUCUCCUAAACCCCUUCAAGGAAUUUUAUAAAACUUGGAUCAAAUGAUCACCUUAUCAAAACGAUGUGCAGAACUUAUGAAUCAGCCAUGCCGGCUCAAGGUCAAGGUCACAGCUUAGGGUCAAAGGUUUGAGCCUUUUAUUUUGUGUUCACUCUGUAUCUCCUAAACCCCUUGAAGGAUUUUCAUCAAACUUUGGUCAAAUGAUCACCUCAUCAAGAGCUCAUGUGUCAGCCAUGUCAACUCAAGGUCAAGGUCACAACUCAAGGUCAAAGGUUUGAGCUCUGUAUCGCCUAAACCCCUUGAAGGAUUUUCAUGAAACUUCGGUCAAAUGAUCACCUCAUCAAGACGUUGUGCGGAAUUAAUGAGUCAGCCAUAUCAGUUCAAGGUCAAGGUCACAGUGAAAGGUCAAUGGUUUCACUAUCCAUAACAGUGACGGGGAAUUUAGCUGUCUUUCAGACUGCCUUGUUCAAACUUAAAAUAGUUAUUCCACCUUAUUACCCACAUCAUAUGACACAAGGUUCAUAACUCUGGCACCAAUUUUUCAUGAAUUAUGCCCCAUUUUACUAAGAAUUUAAGGUUAAUUUUGAUGCUUUUUCACUAUCUUGGUAAUUACUAAAUGGAUUUGAUUCAAACUUGAAGUAGUUGUUCCACAUCAUCACUCACAUUAUCACUCACAUCAUGACACAAGGUGUAUAACUCUUGCACCAAUAUUUUAUGAAUUAUGCUCCCUUUUUGCUUAAAAUUAUACUUAUUUAGUGUUUUGAUACACUUUAUCUUUAUCGCUCUUAUAACUUAAUAUUUUUGACACAGACUCAAGCUAUUGUGCAAUAUCUUCAUCCACCAUUGGAGUCAUGAAGCACUCCAGUGACAGCACCAGCUUCCUCAGAUGUGCUCAGUUUCACUAUCCAGCAUUGAAAUAGUUGAGCACGCUGUCUCCUGUGACAGCUCUUGAUAUUCUGGGUAUAGAACAGAUUUGUAAUAUUUCUUUGAUGUAUAUGUGUGUAGAUAUGUAUGUAAUGAAUAGACUGUUAGCUUUUUAUUGAGAAAUAUGCACUCAUUCCUUAACAAAAUAAUAAUUAUUUUGUGCUCCUAAAUGUGUGCAAUAUUUCAGUUGCAGAAUUCACGGCAUAUUUUUCUAUACAAAGCUAAUAACCAAUAGAAAUAUGGUAAGAAUUAUUUACUAAACACUCAAUAAUUGUCUAGCUAUUUUGUAAUCUUGUAUGAAAAAGUAUCAAAAAAUAUUUCUAGAACAUGAGGAAGAAUUGACCUCAUGACCGAUAUGGCAGAAAAUUGAUAUCAGGGGAGACAACGGCUAUAUGGUAUUGGUAACGGGUGACCGGCAUUGCGAUGUCAAUAUCUAUUGCCUCCGGGUAUCAUCACCUGGAUGUUUAUUUCAAUUUCAAGAGGUUUUCCAUAAUAAAUUAAACAAGCUUAAUUGACAUGCACUUUUAGUUACAAACUAUGUAAAAGAAGGGACCUUUCAUAAGAAAUUUAAAGUCAUUUUUACCAAAACAAUACUUAAUAUGUAGUUUCUUAAAAUUUUGUCUUUCAAGUCACAAAAUAUCAAUAAAUAAAACAAAUAAUUUUUAGAAUUGACAUUGUAAAAUCAUGUCAAUUUAUAAUAGUUAAUUCUGCUCUUUCUUUUUUGUGUGACAUGUAGUAUAUGCUAUCAAAUGUUUCAGACCCCAGGUUAAAAUCCUGAUAAUGACCUUGUUAGAUUUUUACAACCACGUCGAUUUUUAAGUCACAAAAAUACAUUAUAUAAGUUGUGUUUUUUUGAAAACGGUUGAUUACAAUUUAUACUAUUACAUGUGUAGAUUUUAUUUGAUUUUAUUUUUUUACUCUAAAAUGGUUCGAUAUCAUACGUAUAUCAAUUAAGUAAUUCUUUAUAUAUCGGGAAAGUAAGAAAUUUAAUGAUUCGAAAAUUAUGGUACGUUUGUAGAAUAAAUAAAAUGAAGACUUGUUUGACUAUGUCACCCUUGGUCAAAUUGAUCAUUUUCUCUUUCUUUUAAAAAAUAUUGGCAGUCAGCAUGGUACAGGUAUUUUGCCAUUUUCAACGUGAAUACAACUACACAAAUUUUACCAAACUGUUGCAAAAUAAUAAUUACAAAAAAAAUGAUGCAAGAAAGUAAAAUGGCAUUACAAUUAUAUUCAAAACGCAUUUAUAGCCUUAUCAGUGUUGUAUAUGUCUGUGUUGUUUUAACACUCCUUAUUUAGUGGUAAUUGGGGGCCAAUAAAACGGAUAUAUACACGUGAUGGAUCAACAAUUUCUAUCAGCUUUCAUUCAUUAAGAUUACAGAAUAGAAAUGACAUUCAUGUAAAAUCAUUUUAAAUUGAACAUGUACGAUCAAUUAUGAAAGUUUCAUAAUGACAAUUUUCAUGAUAUUUUAACUGCAAAAAAAUCAUGAAACCAGUUCAAAUUUUCACGAAAGUAAAAUUAUAUUUCCACACAAUGAAAACAAAAUGGUUACGAUCAUUUUUUUUCUAAUUUCAUAAAAAAGUUAGUCGAUAUCAUGAAAACAUACGUAUUGCUGAUGCAGUUUAACACUGACUAAAAUAUUUUUAUAUUUAUCUUGCAUUCAUGGAAAAUUUAUCUGUUAUCAUGAUAUAUGUUUAGUUUUUAUUAAAAUCGUCAUUAUUGUUGCAAAAGUUUCAUGAAAGUUAAAUGGUGGAAAAUCAAUUCCGUUUUAAAACCAGAUAUUUUAUUUACAAUAAAAAAAAAAUACACUCUUGUACAUGAAAAUCCUCCAAACAUAAUUUCCGCCUUUAAUUUGACCUAGGCGGACUUUUAAUCUAUUAUGUUUUUUUUCUUUUUAGAACUAGGAUAUUAACUGCAAUAUUUAAUUGAAUUUCUCAUGUUGUAAAAUUUGUGAUACAACACAAAAAGACUUAUUCGCGAAGUAAAAUUGAUUUAAGACUUACACUCAUUGUGUCGAAUAAAACAUCCACUCACAAAUUAACUAAACUGAUUAAAUCAUAUACUUUAACCUUUUGAUAACGAUACCGCAUGUUCACGUGACAUGUCGUCUGCACAUGACGCUACAACAACAACUUCGCAAAGAAGUUAAUUAUUCUUCAAAAUCAGUGGAAAUUAACCAUCUUAGAAUGAAUCAAAUUUUUAUUUAACAAAAAUGAAAUAAAUAUCAUUCAGAAGACAAAUUUAUUGAGAGUAGGAAACCAUUUGCACCUAAGCUUUCAUAUUAAUGGUUUUAUCCAAAAAAUUACUUUUAAGAAACGCAUGUAUGAGAUUUUUACAAAUUUUAUAAGGAAAAUAGAAGGGGAAAGAUGUCGAGAUGAUGGCAUUAAACAUCAUGUUAAGAACGAAUCAAAAAUAAAAAUAAAAUUUAACUUAGAAAUACCAUGUGAUGAAUCAAAUGUUGAACUUUGGUAAUAUUUUUGCCCCUAAGGUUUCUUAUUUUUAGUAAUUUUGUUAUUAAGUAAAAUGUGAACAUGCCCUCCUUAUUUCUAUAUAGAAAAUCUAACCGCUAUCGAUUAUUGGCCGGAGGAAUAUUCUUCGGUAUGACUAAAUUUAGGAAUAAAGUCAACCAAUGAAUUUCGCACUGGUGCUGUGGUGAGAUCUCUGACUCCCAUACAAAUAACCAUAGGACUGGUUUAGUUCCAUAUUAUUUUUUUUGUUCUCAUUUUAAUUCUUUUGUAACAUUUUAUUUCCAUUAAUUCACAUUUUGUUUGCUGUUUUCUUUUCUUUUUUGUGCUGAAACUGUUUGGAUAUGCUGACAGUAAGUCAUGUAUGUUUAGAUCUCAGAUGGUUUGAAGAUUUUUUGGUCAACAUUCUCGUCUUUGAUUUACAGAGAUUUACAUUGAAAACAUAUUGGUACAUUUCUUUCAGUAAAUGAAUCUUAAAACUUUCCGCUAAACCUGGCACUUGUUUAUUCCCUUGUUAUCUGUUUAUGGAGAAAUACCUUCUCCUUUAAAUGUGCCAGUUGUAAGACUCAAACCCACAUCUCAUGAGUGCUAACUAAACAAGAUACAUCCAUCUGCAAUACGAUAUGUUCAUUUAGGUGUACAUUUAGUAAUAGAUUCAAUAUAAUUUUUUAUUUGAUGAAGUUAUAUUGCUAUUUGCCAGGUAUAUAAGUAAGUAAGAACAAUUCUUCGCCAAGACAUACGUUUUUGAAUACCCUGCCUUUGACACUAGAGUACACUGAUCUGUAACUUCAUGGCAAGUUCAUCUUUCUAAACUGUUUUUAGCUCAUCUGAGCCAAAGACUCAUGGUGAGCUUUUGUGACCAUUCAGUGUGCGUCGUGUGUCCGUCAACAUUUUCUAAAAAAAUCUUCUUAAAAACCACUGGGCAGAAUUACACCAAACUUCACAGGAAUGAUCCUUGGGUGGUCCCCUUUCAAAAUUGUUAUUUUACGCUUGUCUGUGUUAGUUUUAAAUAUUGUUGUUGUUUUUUUCGAUUGUUUUUUUUUUCCUGCUUUUCUUCUAUUCAAUUUACUAUCUUAACUCUUCUACCAUAUAAGUAAGUUUAUAUCUGAAAAUUAUAUUUUUGUUAAGCAUAUAUUUUUUUCCCUUCUAGUCCAAACAAAAAUCCGCCAUUUAGUUUAAUCUAACAUUAAUUUGACAGCCAGGGACAGACCGAUUUCUAAUGUUGGUAAAACUUGUGGUCCAACCCUUUUGUAUUAUCACACAUUUGCAAAGUAACUGAAUAUUUCUUAAUGUACAGUAGUAAUAUAUAUGUCUUGAUGUAAUGAUGGUUUGCUGUUGUAUAUAUUUUUAUAAUUAGACUUUUAUGUCCACUUUACCUUAAUUCUUUAGGAGCAAUAGCUUUGAAACUUUGCAAACUUGUUUAUCAUCAUUAGGUUAAUAGACUUUAUGUACAUUUCUUCAAAAAUAUAAUGGGCCAUUUUUUACUUUUAUCAACCUACGUACAGUACCUGUUUUCUUCUUUUUACCUGUAUAUAUAUGUAUAUAAUUAUAUAUUCUCUUUUUCUUCUCAUCCUUAUCAGUUUGACAUACCAUCUGUCUAUGACUCUGCAAGGGGUUCAGAUGGACAAAAAAUGUUAGUAUCCAUUGGGUUCCUACAAUGGAUCAAAACUAACCCGUGUUUGCAGUAGAUCUUCUGGUGUCUUUUGGUAACUAUUUCUUGUUGAAAUGUUGAAAUAAAAUUAAAAGUUUAUGUCAGUUGUGUAUGUACUAUUGUUAGAUUGUUUUAAUUUGCUUUCCAUCAAGUGACUGUUGUCUUUUUCCUCAAAUAUAUAUCAUGUACCUCAGUGUGAUUGUUUGUUUGAAAUAAAAAAUUGUCCUUUA